AGAACGAACGCUGGCGGCAUGCCUAAUACAUGCAAGUCGAACGAACACUUCGGUGUUAGUGGCGCACGGGUGCGUAACGCGUGGGAAUCUGCCCUUGGGUUCGGAAUAACAGUUGGAAACGACUGCUAAUACCGGAUGAUAUCGAAAGAUCAAAGAUUUAUCGACCCAGGGAUGACGCCCGCGUAGGAUUAGCUAGUUGGUGAGGUAAGGCUCA
rnacentral:rRNA from 1 species